UCGAUUGUUGUAUCACUCGUUACGAUUUGACCAUAAUAGAUGAUUUUAAUUCUGCAGAUGUAUUCUUCAAUUAUAUAUAGUAGUUGUCUUCGCCCGCUCUCUUGCGCUCUUCGCCACUACGUGUAAUGCCGUCCACAGUGGUCAAACAGUUUAUUAAUUAAUGCCACACAGAGUGGUCAAAUUUUCCGUAGUGCAUUGGCUGCGUUACGCCUCUUAUUAUUCUAAUGUCUUUGGUCAUUAUGACGCUUCCAACCGUGCUGAUACAUCAGCGAAGAAUCUACAACGUUCUAAGAGGGGUCAACGUGCAACCAGCGCAUCUGCGCCUCGGAGUAUGCCUCCGACCACACGUAAUCAAAAUGGGAUCACAAUGUGAAGCAGUGCGUACUUACCGGGACGGCCCUUUCGCGAGAUUAGGAGCAGGGAAAUGACAUUAUUUCGGUAGAAUUUUCUUCCGGGCCGCAGCAGGCAUUGAUUUCCACCCGAACAUCACCCUCGCGUUGGAUAAGGCGCAGCAUGCUCUCCUUACUACCGCACACUCGGGAGGUGUAAGAAGGAGGAAGUCCUGUUAAUCGAAGCCAUAACUUAUAUUAAGCAAACUACAAAAAAAUUUUCAGUAAGGGAAAAUAGCGAUUACCUUAAGUCUACCAGAAAGUAAACAAAUUUGUGAUAAAGAGCGUCUAAAUAAAUACACCUUUAAAAUAUGAGCAUA